UUUUUUUUUUUUUUUAGGGCUGCACCUAUGACAUAUGGAAGUUACCAGGCCAGAGGCUGAACUGGAGCUACAGCUGCAGGCCUAUACCACAGCCACAGAAACACAGGAUCUGAGCUGCAUCUGUGACGUACACCACAGCUCACGGUAACGUCGGAUCCUUAAUCCACUGAGUGAGGGCAGGCACCGAACCCGUGUCCUCAUGGACACUAAUUGGGUUUGUUACUGCUGAGCUACAAUGGGAACUCCAAGUAUGUGAAAUUUUUAAGUCCUUUCUUUACUAUUAUACUUCCAAUUUUCAUUUUGCUUAUUUUCUUUCCUUCGAAAUCCCAAAAAUGAAGGAAAAAAUCUAAUAACAAUGAACUUCAAAAGAAUACUGUGUCCGUUCAAGUGCUAUAUUUGAGUUGUAGAGGUGCCUAAGGAUGAUGUGAACAGGUAAUUAAGUAACAGCAAAUUAUAAAAUAUGACUUUUGAUCCAAAUAGGGAUGUAGGACAUGAAGUCAGGGAAAUGAUUCCCUUUACAAAGGAUUCCUUUAAGGUAAACUUUAUUAAUGGCUUUUUUAAAGAACUAGUUAAACAUUUUCUAUUCAUUUACUUAAUGACUGAGUCUGGCCCUGGGAACUCAAAGAUCAGUAAGGCUGCCCGUUGCCAGCAGGGGGCACAGGGAGGUCGGUCGGGGGAGGGACAGCAGGGUCACAGAAGAGGCAGUAGGCUCCAGGGCUCCAGCUGCUGAGAUGGGGCAUCUCAAUCAUGCUGUGGGGCGGGGGGUGAGGGGAGAAGAUAUGCAUCCCUUUGGGAACAGACACACUACGUGCAAAAACACGUUCACACAGCACAGCCAACCUGAAACACUCUUGGGAUAAACAGGGACUUGUCAGCUAAGACGGAGGAAGGAGAGAAAAACAGCUCCUUUAUAAAGCAAGCAAACUUCGUAAAAUCAUAACUUCAGAGAUCAAGAAAUACCGCACAACAUUUUGGGGUUAAUGAGGGGAAAAAUCACCUUCUGAAAGGUAGUCUUACCUUGGGGAUUUUUGCUCCCAGGUCUUGAUACUGCUUUGGGUUUUUCAGGAAGUUCACAAACUCCAUGAUCUCUAGCUUGGCCUCCUCGCAGCCGGCCACAUCUUUGAACUUGACGUCUAUCUCGUCCUUUAAGACCUUGGCAGUAGUCUCUCCCACACUGAAGAGUCCACCCAUGCCCCGGCCAGAGCGGCCGAUGCCGGCCGGCCCCCUCCGGAUGGUGUAGAGCAGGAAGGCGAUGAUGAGCGCGGUGGGCAGCAUGCUGAGCAGGAAGGAGCUGGAGGCACACGGUGAUGCUCAGGGUGCUGCCCCUAUCCCAUCCCCUGGCCCCACCCAGGCGGAACUACACAUUCUAUCUGGGCGACACCAGGACAUCCCCACACUUAUCUGAGGCACAAGGGGAUCAGUGUGUCAACAUCCCUAAAGCAGACGCUCAGAAAACCCCAUUCUCAACAUGCAUGCUGCCCAGCGGGACUCCACUACCGCCCUGAGAACCACUGCCUGUGCGAACUGCGGCCCUGGGAUUUACCAGCAUCACACCCGAGUUUCCAAGACAUUUCUUUCCAAGUCCUCACUUAAGAUCUUAAUGUAUAUGCAGCACUAGGAACUAUACCUAGUCACUUACGAUAGAGCAUGAUGGGGGAUGAUGUGAGAAAAAGAAGGUAUGUGUGACUUGAUCACUUUGCUGUACAACAGAAAACUGACAGAAUGCUGUAAACCAACUAUAAUGGAAAAAAUAAAAAUCAUUAAAAAAAAAAAAAAAAAAAAAAAAAAAANGUCGUGAGCUGUGGUGUAGGCUGUAGAUGCGGCUCAGAUCCCACGUUGCUGUGGCUGUGGCGUAGGCCGUCGGCAAUAGCUCCAAUUAGACCCCUAGUCUGGGAACCUCUAUAUGCUGCAAGUGCAGUCCUAAAAACAGAAAAGACCAAAAAAACAAACAAACAAACAAAAAAAACUUAAUGUGAUUCUGGUGUGAUCCUGAGCAGAAACUGCAGUUCUCUUAUUAGACUGCAUCAGCUUACUCUGAGAAGAUGUCUUCAAAUACCCACUCCCUGCUGAGCGAACAGCACACACUUUGAAAAGUCCCAUGUACCGUGGGGAAAGCUGUCCCCGCCAGGCUGUGCAGCCCACAGACCCCAUGCCUGCGCCCUGCUUUCUGUCUGUCUUAAUGAAGUCAAUUUCAACACAACUAUGGUCACAGAUAGGUACUUAUUCUGGGUAUUACAAUGCAAUUUAGUUUAACUUACCCUAAGAAAUUUAGAUCAAAACCAGGUUCACGGUUUAGGUGAGAAAACAAAGUAAGAAUAAAACCAGGAUUAGCUGUCUAAUUUUUCAUCUAUUAUAAAAUUUUAUUAUAAAGUUUUAAAUGCUGCUACAGAAGGCAGCAAAAACCAUGAAUAAUAUACUUUUGGAUUAUUUCUAGAAAAAUCAACACCACCCCACCCUACCCCCGCCCCGACAGACAGCAAAGGUUUAAAGAACGGUACAACAAGACGUUGUACAGAAUCUUGGCACUGGCCUAUAAAGUUAAGCAAUGAUAUGACAGCCUCAGGGGCUGAGGGACAGAGCACAUGGGAAACACUCUCAACAGUGAGCUGGAUCUCAAUACUGCAGGCGGGUCUACACAACCAAGACUUAAGAGAAUCCCUAAAGUUAAGACCAUCAGCUCAAGUAACAGGCUAGCUACCCAUUUUUCUGCUCUUUCACAUGUACAAAAAAAUUAAGCCUUACUUCUACUUUCACGCUCAACAGGGGCAACUUUUUUUUAAUUUUUUUGUUUUCCCACUGUACAGCAAGGGGGUCAGGGUAUCCUUACAUGUAUACAUUACAAUUACAUUUUUUCCCCCUCAACAGGGUAACUCUUAAGUCAAGGUGUACGUUCUAUACUCCCUGCAAAUGGGGUGAGCAUGGGUACCUAGUGGGGUGUAUAUGGGUGAGCGCUUGAAGGCCUACAAAGUGGCUCAAAGACAGGCAGCCCCUGCAGGCAAGAAGGCCUUCCUGAUGUGGGCUUUCUAAAGACCGAUCAAGGACCCCCAAGGCAAGAAGCAACUCUGACCAGAGAGAAAGAGGCAUUACCUCUGUGAACUACAAAAGCAGGAUAGUUAAAAGGCGGGACUGCUAUUCUUUAACACAAAGGGGCUCUUUAUGCUAAAAUCCUACUGAAGGGCAGUGACUGGACAUUAACCCCAAACCACUGCUUCAUCAAGAUAAAUAUCAACGUGUAGAAAACCAACCAGUCACUAGCAAAAACUAGUAAGUCACCAGUGGUUUAAAAGAACUUGGCCAAAUUGAGACAGGCCUGUCGAGAAUAGAACGUGGGGACAGAGCGCCAGCAGCCCUGCACAGGCUCUGCAUCCUCCCUGCUUCUCUGCUCACCCGUCACUCUCAGCGAUGUAGACCACGGGGACCCGAUUCUCCCCUUCGAUGCCCAGCUCCUGCUGUAAAGUUUCCAGAUUCCGCUCGAAGGUGUCCACACUGCCAAUAUUGAACCAGACGUACUGCUGUAAAAACAGGAAAACAAAACAUCUUAAUGAAGAGGAAACAAAGGGCUUGAUUCACUAAAGGGAUUAACUUUCUAAGAACUUUUCAGCAAUGUUGCAAAUUUACACAUUAAAAACUACAGCAAUAUUACAAAACUGGUUUUAACAAUGCAGUGAUUACGUCCCACUCAGAGGGAACACACUGGGCAAGCUUCGGCAAAGAAGCAUUUCUCUUUAGUGGUAUUAUUCCUCUGUGCUCCUAAAAUCAUCAACUCAGAAAAAUGAAAACUCUACUUGAAAAGACAAUCCUUUUCAUAAAUAAACAGGUGUUCUUUUCUGCUUGUCCAUUUCCCAGGAAUUUCUUAGCGGCCUCAUCCCAAACUAAAAGCCACUGUGUGCGGUGACGGUGGCUACAGUUUCCACCUGCUCAGGCCUCAGAAGGCAGCCUGCCUGAAAUGGUGCCAGACGCUCCCCUCUGCUCACUCAGCCAGUGAGCUUCUGGGCCUAGAGGCGAUGGCUGUGAUGGCCACAAGCACAGGACUCCCACUGUGCUAGCGUUUACUGUCCCCAUUUCACAGAGGAGAAAACUACAAGGUGACUUCACUGCCCACUGCUACCCACCUAGUAAGCAGGCCAGUGACACUAACCACCUUUUAUACACAACUAGGGCUCCUAACAACUCACACCUGGGAGUUUACCACAUGCUGGACCCUGUUCCAAGCACCCUGUGAGUGUCACCUGCACUGAGCAGCACAAAAGGACUGUGCUCCCCUCUGCCCUGCGAUCACUGAGCAUAUAAAACUCAGAUAAUUCAGAAGUGCACGCAGACAAAAGCAACGUCACCCCCCCUUCCUCCAAAUGCCUGGGUUACUGAGUGGGGACCUAACCGGUGUCCCGUCCAGUGCAUAAAAACAAAAGACGCGGAGUAUGCUGUACAGUGGUAGACAACAGCUCCUAGUAAGUUGUUCACAGACAAAGCUACACAAUCCCUGUAGUUACCAGCUCCAAACAUGCCAAUAACAGAUUAAUCAUGUGACUGAACGGCCCCUAACUUAGCUCCUACCAUCGUGGGGAAGUCAGCUCACCACUGACUCACAUCAGAGAACUGAGAGGACUAAGGGCUGGCAGCCUAAGAUCCCGGGACACUGUCUAGGUGAGAUCCAGGGUGUGUGUGGCAGGGCAGCUUGAGAUCCUGGAUGUGGUCUAGGUGAGACCCUGGGGGCAGGGGGCAGCUCUGCAGGUGGUCCUUAUGCACUCAAGUCUGACCUACUUCAUCCACUGAGGUCUGAGUUCUUAAGGAGUCCUGGAAUCAUCCUCAUCUUACAGAUAAAGAUGCCCACUCAGGCCUCACAGCUGUCAAGAGCGAGUUUAUCUGCGGCCAAGCCUACUGGACUCCAGAGCCUGUGCUUCACAGCCUAGCAUGGCAGUUAGUACCGCUGCCCCCCAGGCAGCAGCACACUGAGGAUGUGGAAGCUCUGAACACCAUCUUUAUCAAACAAGCCAUCAACACAUCCUCUGUAGAAAAACUAAAGAAAUGUAAACACAGUGAAACAAAAAGCAUCCAUAUCUUCCACACCCAGAAGCAAACACUAUUAGCAAUUCUUGUGUGUGUAUUUUUUUUUUGUCUUUUGUCUUUUUAGGCCCGCACCCGUGGCACAUGGACGUUCCCAGGCUAGGGAUCCAAUUGGAGCUCACAGCAGCACCAGAUCCUUAACCCGCUGAGCGAGGCCAGGGAUAGAACCCACAAGCUCAUGGUUCCCAGUUGGAUUCGUUUUCACUGCACCACAAUGGGAACUCUACUAUUAGCAAUUCUGAUGUCAUUCUUUCAAAAUUUCAUCACGCCCCCUCUAUAAUCUUGAAAGAUGCACAAUUUUGAAGAGAAAUCAAUAUAAACCCUUAACUGUAAUACAAUGGAGAGAUAAAUAGUAAUUUACAAUAAGAUGGUAUGAACUUGCACAGUGAAGGCUUGUGCAUGCCAAUGCUAGGUGUCAACACCGCCCUCCUGAGAAUCAGGGUGCCAGGUGGAGGCUAAAGCAGGGACGUGAGAGCACCUACCGCUGACCAGGGAGGGGCCUAAUGUGGCCAUUCAUCUGUCUAAGCUUUUGCCCUGUGAACGAUGCCUUGGAGGACAUCAUCAUACAGACAUCUGUACAUGCAUCCUUAGUUAUUCCCUAGGAUGAUUGCUGAAGCGAAAUUACUGGGCGUGCUGCCAAUAUGUACGCUGCCCAACUGUCCCCUUGAAAGGGAGUGUCAAUUUAGUUCCCGCACCAAAAGUCUGAGGAACAGUUCUGAGAAAAAAAAAAAAGUACCAUGGUUAUUAAUGAACAUUUCAUCAAGAAAAUGAAAACAACUUUCCUUGAAGUGACUGAAAUACUGGAAUCCUAGGACUUUACAGAUUUUCUUAAGUUUACUGACAUCAGAGGGAUGGUGACCAUCAGUCCCCAUUUUCCUUAAAUGCUGCCCCUCCAGGCAGGAUGAAGGGUGAAAUUCAUCAAAAGGGAGCAGGGAUGCAGCCUGGGGGAGGGGUCUGGCCUCGCUGGAGGGGCAAAGACCACAAGCCGCCCUCCCGGGACUGAGAAUGGGCCUGGGGUCUGGCCCAGGGGAGGGCUGGGGACACCCUGGGAAUCAUAAUCCCUUCAAUCUAAUCUGGGAUCUCUGGAACAGAGUUCAAGCCAGUUGGACAAGAAAUACAAAUGUUCUUUAAAAAUAAAAGAAAAAGUGGAAAUUAUUAUAACAUCCCGAAACAGUUGGGAUAUGACCAGAAUGCUUCUUAAACUGAUUUGACAAAAGCUGUCUCAAAACAUAAGCAAUUCAGAUUUUAAGUUUUUUUUUUUUCCCUUAACCAAACAAUUGUUUUCUCAGUCUUGUAAAAUCAUAGACACUGGAAUACUGAAAAUUAGACUUCUUAAAGGUACAGCCAAAAUGAUUACCAAAACCAAACCAAAAGCAAAACCCCGACCCAAUCCUCAUACACAACUGUGGACACAACACUCAUAUUCUAACUGUCAGUGGAGGUCACAACAGCUGGCACGGCCAGGGUUAUGUGGCUGCCACAUGUGAGGGGAUGUUUGCUUCUGCUUUAAAUCUGAAACCUUUAUGUACAGCUAUUUCAAAGCAAAUAAUAAAACCACUUACUCCAUCAACAGGAGUUUUUCCUGGCGUAAAAGUCACUCGAACAAAACGCUUGUUGACGACUUCCAGUCUGUCUACCUGGAAUUUUAAAAUGUUAAGCAUUCAAACAUAAAUUUACAGAAAGACUUGAAAUAAACUUUUAGGCUUGCUAAAGUGCAUAUAUUUCAGACAAACAGGAAGCAUGACUGAUAAUG
rnacentral:lncRNA from 1 species